UUUUUUACUUUAGUAUAUUCUCGAAUAUCACAGAAGGGGCGAGUCUUUACCUGCACUUGCAGUUUAAAUGGCAAUUUCCUAAUCAGGGCAUGUCCCUUGUCAGCACAUAAAUUCCAGCAUUUUUGCAGGAAAAGGCAGAAUGUAAACGAUGGCAACGUCCUAAUCACGAAGACAUGUCAUUUGUCAGCAGAUAUUUUACAGUAUCAUUGCAAGAAAAGGCAGAAAGGUGCAGAUAUAAUCAACAAGAGAUUAUUUUUCUACUCCCUAUCCACCCCAGUUUAAAUGACCAAAAUCUCAUAUUUCUUUCCUUUCAGGGUGUUUUAGUUUUAACAAUAGGCCCUUAUGUAGAUUUUUCAGUAGUCUGGGUGCUGAAAGUAUAAUAUUCAGCUUCGUCUUGAACACAGAUAUGUAAAUAUACCUAAAAAGUGUGGAAAAUGUGUAUCUAAGAAUUGUCAUUUUCUUUAUUAUUUUAUUGACUCCUGAUUUUGAUGUGUUUACCUUUUUCUGCAAAUAUCUUUACAUAAACUGUAUGAUUUCUUUUCUACGUACUUUGUUAUAUUAA